AGUCUCUCUGAGAAGUAGGUGAUCAGUCUGAGGUCAGCUCCAAGAGCCUGAGUUAAGACCAUCAGGGUCUGGCCCUGUCUUUCAUCUAUAUACAGAGUGAAAGAGCCAGGGCAGAAGCCAGUUUGGUUUUCAGGGUCUUAAAAGCCUUGGCCUGAUCAGGCCCCUGAAUAGAAUCUUAGAGGGGCUUGGCAAUAAUCCCCAAAUUAGGAAUCCAAAUUCUGCUGAAACCAGCCACGUCCAGGAAAGUGCAUAGCUGUUUCUUCGAGGCAGGUUCUGGGAGAGGUUAGAUUGUCUCCUCUCCUCUGUGAGAGAAUAGGAGGUGGGAAUUAAUUCAUGGCCCAAAUAUUUGACAGACUGGCAGGCAAUGUGGGCUUUGGGUAAGGAGACCCUGUGGCUCUUAGAGGCCAGAAAAUUAAGAGUUUUAUGGCUGCAUCUAGGGCAGCCUCUCGGGUGGGGCUGCAGAUCAAAAUAUCAUCCACAUACUGGAUGAGACUGCUGUUAAGCAACUCCAAAUCCCUUAAAUCUUUAGCCAGGGCCUGUCUGAAUACAUGUGGACUAUCUUGGAAGCCCUGCGGCAAAACUGUCCACUUUAAUUGGUGGGGAUGUUCUUCUGGCUUUGCGCAUUCAAAAGCCAAAAAAAAUUGUGAAUUUUUAUGCAAAGGUAUACAAAAGAAGGCAUCUUGAAGAUCUAGAGUGGAAAAUCACUUUGUGUGCCCUGGGAUCUGAGUAUGGAUUAAGACUGGGACAGUAUGAGUAGCUUGCCCAGACAGAGGAAUCUAUUUCCUCCUAGAUUUCAGAGGGAACAUGGGAGGGCUUUGAUAGAAGCACAGAAAGGUCACCUGAGGUCUGAGAAGGGAAAAUUGGGUCCCAAUUUCACCAUUAAAUCAUGCCCCAAUAAGGGAGCAGGAGAGGAGGAAAUAAUAAGAAAGGAGUGUUUAAAUAACAGGUCACCAAACUGUCAAGGCAGAGGGAAGGUCUCAAAACAAAUCAUAAGUUUCCCUUCAUCCUCAUUAUUCUGGUCUCUGAGACCAGAUUGUUGAAGCAAGACAGAAAGAGAGGCCCCGUAUCAAAAAGAAAUUCAACAUUCUUACGGCCACAUCUAAAGAUACCCAGGGUUUGGCUGUCAUGAUGGAGCAAGGGGGAGCCUGGCUGAACCCUGGGUCCUGUCACUCCAGGUCUUGAGGAUGCCCAAGGAUAAGGCAUGGGGUGGUGGCAGCUCUACCCCUCUCCGGCAGUCUCUUGCCCAGUGCCCCUCCUGGUUGCACUUGGGGCAGGGGCCAGGGGGUUUCCUCCAAGCACAGUUGUGAGCCCGAUGGUCCUGUCCAUCGUACCCAAAGCAUGAACCCCUAUGGUUCUCAAAGGGUAGCCCUAACAUUUGGACUUUGUUCUUUGUUUCUUGUUCUGACUCUGUGGUCUUCCUCCUCUGCUGCAGUGGUCCCUAUUAUUAAAGACUACAAAAGCUGUUUCUAACAGUUGAGUCUGGGAAGUUUGCGGGCCCGAGGCUAAUUUCUGCAGAUUGUCUAAUAAUAUCCAUGCUGAGGAAAAUGGUCCCCUCUGGGUCUUGUGAUUUCAAAUCAAUAGAGGCAGACUUGCACAAAAUCUCUCUUCCAGAAUCUCUAACUUCCAGUCACAGGACAAAAAUCAAGACAGCUGGUGACGGGCCUUCCGGACUGGCGGAAACAUCAAGCCUAUUAUUCUGCUUCCAAGAUUUCAGUGGCUUGAGAGAGAUGGAAAGAAUCCCAGCCUGAUGGUCUUAAAGACUGAAUAUGCAUUUACAUAUCACAUGUUGUGUGCUAGUUCUUUGCACAGGUAUAGAGUUCCUGGCCUUGAAAGCUUGAGCCUCAGGGACCUGGGAGUCAGGAUUCCAGAUUGGAUGAAAGCAGAUCCUGAGAAGCUUGAGUGCUGAGGCAAAACUCCACGGGGACUUUAAACUUGGAAUUGCUGGGACUAUCUUAUAUGGGAAUGGAGUGAAGUUGUGAACCUAAUUCCUCUCUCCAGAUUCUAAGGAAUGACCAGCAGGAUGAAUACAGAGAGGCUUGGAGAGACCUACAUGGACUGAUGCUAAGUGAGAUGAGCAGAACCAGGAGGUCAUUAUACACUUUGACAACGAUAUUGUAUGAGGAUGUAUUCUGAUGGAAGUGGAUUUCUCUGACAAAGAGACUUAACUGAGUUUCAUUGGAGAAAUGAUGGACAGAAACAGCUACACCCAAAGAAGGAAUACUGGGAAAUGAAUGUGAACUAUUUGCAUUUUUGAUUUUCUUCCUGAGUUAUUUUUACCUUCUGAAUCCAAUUCUCCCUGUGCAACGGGAGAACUGUUCGGUUCUGCAAAUAUGUAUUGUAUCUAGGAUAUACUGCAACAUAUUUAACAUAUAUAGGACUGCUUGCCAUCUUGGGGGGGGGAGGAGGGAGGGAGGGGAAAAAACGAAACAUAAGUGAUUGCAAGGGAUAAUGUCGUGUAAAAAUUAUCCUGGCAUGGAUUCUGUCAAUACAAAGUUAUUAUUAAAUAAAAUAAAAUUUAAAAAAAAAAUAA